rnacentral:rRNA from 1 species
GACGAACGCUGGCGGCGUGCUUAACACAUGCAAGUCGAACGGAAAGGCCCUGCUUUUGUGGGGUGCUCGAGUGGCGAACGGGUGAGUAACACGUGAGUAACCUGCCCUUGACUUUGGGAUAACUUCAGGAAACUGGGGCUAAUACCGGAUAGGAGCUCCUGCUGCAUGGUGGGGGUUGGAAAGUUUCGGCGGGUGGGGAUGGACUCGCGGCUUAUCAGCUUGUUGGUGGGGUAGUGGCUUACCAAGGCUUUGACGGGUAGCCGGCCUGAGAGGGUGACCGGCCACAUUGGGACUGAGAUACGGCCCAGACUCCUACGGGAGGCAGCAGUGGGGAAUAGUGCACAAUGGGCGGAAGCCUGAUGCAGCAACGCCGCGUGCGGGAUGACGGCCUUCGGGUUGUAAACCGCUUUCGCCUGUGACGAAGCGUGAGUGACGGUAAUGGGUAAAGAAGCACCGGCUAACUACGUG